UAACCAGCUAUUUAUAGGCGAUCUAAUCAGCUACCUCGGUUCAGGUGAGCAUCCGCAUCACCUGACUGAGGUGCCUUCUGGGAAACUGAGUCUGCAAACCAAAACUACACAAACUAAACAGUGACCUCUAGUGGUGGUCCCUUACAAAUUUGGAGCAACUGCAUUUUUAGAUUUUACUAAUUAUAAAUCCUCUAUUUGUGUUUUAACUUCUGGUUAACAGCAGAAAGAAACAUAAAGAACAGUACAGAGUCAAAGCAGGACGAACAUAACAGAAGGCCAGACAGAUUCAUCGUGUUAUAUGCUACAAUCCCCAUUUUACUGGCUCUGGCUCUAGCUGCUGUGGGGUUCAUCUGGAAAAAGACUAAAACCUCAUCAGGAUCUGAGGAAGUGGAACAACAAACGAUGCAAAAUGGGGAUGAAACCAAAGAAGCUGUAAAUAUGGAAUGUAAGCAUUUCAAACAUUAUGAUUUCUAUAUUAUACAUAUUUCACAUUUUAAUAAUAGCCAGUUUUGAAGUACAGCAUGGUAACACUCUAUUUUGGUUGAGUUUCCACCCACCUCCCGAAAACAUGCCAGUAGGUGGACUGACCAGGCUUAAUUGUCCCUGGGUGCGAAUACGUGUACAAAUAUAAGUGACUGUGUCAGUGUCUGUGAACUGUGUAGUUGUUUUUGCAAAAUAGGUUCCAGAUCCAGUGACAGCCCUGAUCAAGGGGAAAAUGCGGAAAAUGUAUCAUAUUUACAUUUUUUUAAUGCUCAACCUUCAUGUUACAUACAGGUUCUCUGUAUGAUGUGGGGACUGGACAAGAAGAGAGUAAGGUGGGAUCUCAGCAGAAGGAUUUAAUGCAGGAAGACCAAAAAGAAUCCACAGACAUUGAUUUAGUUAUGAAGCAGAAUGACUUGUAUGAACUCGGGGCAUGAGAGGACACUGGACUGAUUUGUAGGAGUGUUUACGAGCAUGUGAAUUUCUUUCUUUUACUGGACUAAAAUUAAACACAUUUUCACUUGGGGAAGUAAUAAUGGCACUUAUGUAGAUAGCAAAUGUAUUAUAGAUUACAGUAAAUACAGAAGUUUAAGGCAUAAAAUCCCUGUGAUCCACCAGCAGUACAGUAUCUUAAACAUAUUUUUGCAUCUUGUCAUGUACUUUAUUUUUCUUUUUUUUUUUUCAUAUUUUUCUACUGAUAAACUGUGUGAACUGCCAUUA